GUUCCUGUAGUUUAGUGGUAUAAUGUCUGCUUUACACGCAGAAGGUCCUCAGUUCGAUCCUGAGCGGGAACA